GAUGAACGCUAGCGGCAGGCUUAAUACAUGCAAGUCGAGGGGGCAGCAAUGUCACCGGCGGACGGGUGCGUAACGCGUAUGAAACCUACCUUUAUCAGGGGGAUAGCCCGGGGGAAACCCGGAUUAAUACCGCAUAAUAUAUUGAAUGGCAUCAUUUGAUAUUGAAAGAUUUAUUGGAUAGAGAUGGUCAUGCGUAGGAU
rnacentral:rRNA from 1 species